rnacentral:rRNA from 1 species
AGUAAUAAAAAAGUAUUAAUAUUUAAUUACACGAAGAUGUUCGAGCUACAUAAUACAAGAUAUUAGUCUAUUUAUAUGUGGCAUAAUAUUAUUAUAGUAUUAUGUAGGAGUGAUAGGCCCUUCAAGUACAUUGAUAUCUUGAUGCAUAAGAAAUAUAUGUAGUAUAAAGACAACCUACUAAAGUUAAGCUUGGUAGCAUCUAUUAAUAUAAUUAUUAUUUACUCGUUAAAGUUUAACCACUCACCGUUUUAAAUAUUAAUAUAAUUUAUUAAUUUUUAUAGAAAUUAUUAUGCAAUAUCUGACAAUUUAAAAAUAUAUAUAAUGUUAAUAUGAGUAGUUUAUUAAUAAAUAUUUUAUAUGAACUCGGCAAUAUUUUUUUCAACUGUUUAUCAAAAACAUAGUUAUAUGAUUUAUAUAUAAUUAUUUCUGCUCAAUGAUGUGUUAAAUAGCCGCAGUACUCUGACUGUGCAAAGGUAGCAUAAUCAGUUGGCUCCUAAAUAGAGUCUGGAAUGAACGAAUAUAUGAAGAACAGCUGUCUUAAAGUAUUUAAAUAAAAUUGGUUGUAGGUGAAAAUCCCUACAUACCUAUAAAAGACGAGAAGACCCUAGAAACUUAUAUAAUUGUUUUGUUGGGGCGACAAAUUUACAUAAAAACUAAUUUUUAAUUAACAUGGCGAUUUCAGAUAGAUAAAGUUACUCUAGGGAUAACAGCAUAAUAUUUUUUGUUUGUGACCUCGAUGUUGGACUAGGUAAAGUAUUCUUUAGAAGAGAAUAUAUAUGCUCUGUUCGAGCAGAAGAACCUACAUGAUCUGAGUUCAGACCGG